AAAGGAAUAGACGGGGACCCGCACAAGCAGCGGAGCAUGUGGUUUAAUUCGAAGCAACGCGAAGAACCUUACCAGAGCUUGACAUCCCUCUGACCGGUCGGUAAUGCGACCUUCCCUUCGGGGCAGAGGUGACAGGUGGUGCAUGGUUGUCGUCAGCUCGUGUCGUGAGAUGUUGGGUUAAGUCCCGCAACGAGCGCAACCCUUGUCAUUAGUUGCCAUCAUUAAGUUGGGCACUCUAGUGAGACCGCCGGGGAUAACUCGGAGGAAGGUGGGGACGACGUCAAAUCAUCAUGCCCCUUAUGUUCUGGGCUACACACGUGCUACAAUGGUCGGUACAGAGAGAAGCAAAAUCGUGAGGUGGAGCAAAACUCUAAAACCGGCCCCAGUUCGGAUUGUAGGCUGCAACUCGCCUACAUGAAGUCGGAGUUGCUAGUAAUCGCGAAUCAGAAUGUCGCGGUGAAUGCGUUCCCGGGUCUUGUACACACCGCCCGU
rnacentral:rRNA from 1 species